rnacentral:lncRNA from 1 species
GCUCCACUCCCUUCUGUUUUAAUCAGUGAUCUCUGAAUACAGACUACCUUAAAUCUAGAGUAUUCUACUGAUUCUUAAAAGUGAGACGUGACUGGGCACGGUGGCUCACGCCUGUAAUCCCAGCACUUUGGGAGGCCGAGGCGGAUGGAUCACAAGGUCAAGAGAUUGAGACCAUCCUGGCCAACAUGGUGAAACCCUGUCUCUACUAAAAAUAGAAAAAUUAGCUGGGCAUGGUAGUGCACGCCUGUAGUCCCAUCUUCAGGAGGCCGAAGCAGGAGAAUCUCUUGAACCUAGGAGGUGAAGUUUGCAUGGCCCAGUCUCGGCUGACUGCAACCUCUGCCUCCUGGAUUCAAGCGAUUCUUCUGCCUCAGCCUCCUGAGCAGCUGAAACUAUAGGCAUUCGCCACCAUGCCUGGCUAAUUUUUGUAUUUUUUGGUAGAGACAGGUUUUCGUCAUGUUGCCCAGGCUGGUCUCGAACUCCUGAGCUCAGGCAAUCUGCCCGUCUUGGCCUCCCAAACGACUUGACUACGUCUCACAGUGGCCCUGGAUGCUCCUGCUUCUGGCUGUCAGCGGCUUCUGUAACUUUGCCUAGAAUGUCAUUGCCUUCAGCAUCCUCAACCUCGUCAGCUCUCUGAGCUAUUCAGUUGUCAAUGCCACCAAGAGAAUCAUGGUCAUCACAGUGUCCCUGAUCAUGCUGCCCAACCCAGUCACCAGCACCAAUGUCCUGGGCAUAAUGACUGCCAUCCUCGGGGUCUUCCUCUACAAGACCAAGUAAGAUGCAAACCAGCAAGUCAGGAAGCACCUCCUCCUGGCACCACAGUGGACCUGAGCAGCAAGGAACAUCACCAGAGCCCACUGGAGAAGCCCCACCAAUGGCCUCCUCUUCCCCCAGCACGGGGACUAUCAUGGCUGCAACAAUAUCUUAACAGACCACUUCCAGUACAGCUGGCAGAGCUACCCAAACUCUUAGUUUGAACCACUAUGACUUGUAGAGUCCAGAGGACAGGACCAGACUGUUCUGCGACGGCUUCCCCUGCCCCCACAGCAGUUUCAGAAACUUCUGACAUCCAGUGAAUGUACAACCCAGCCGAGGGAAUGGUGUGUAACUCUUCAUCAGAAGCACCGGGGUUCCUGGCGCCCCAUGAGCCACAGGAGGAUGCGUUGCCUGCAGCACAGACGGCUGUGGGCUCUGGGCAAACCUAAACAGACACUGGUGUCUCAUGCUCUUU